rnacentral:rRNA from 1 species
AUGGAUCAGGAGCUGAUCGAGCACAUUGAGGACAAAGUGAGUGCUGACAGCGCGAGAUCUCACCCUCUCAUCGAUUUGUUCAUACCAACCAUUGACAACAAGCAUGGCAUAUGCUACACCCAUCCUGAGAAACUUACAGAUAAGACACCGAUCGGCCGUCUACUUGCACAAACAUAUUCCUUUGUUUAUAGCUCUAUUUUUCUUUCUAGACAUAGACCUGGUGAAGCAAUUACAAUUUGA